rnacentral:rRNA from 1 species
CGGAGGGUGCAAGCGUUAUCCGGAUUCACUGGGUUUAAAGGGUGCGUAGGUGGGUCUGUAAGUCAGUGGUGAAAUCUCCGGGCUUAACCCGGAAACUGCCAUUGAUACUAUAGGUCUUGAAUUUUCUGGAGGUCAGCGGAAUAUGUCAUGUAGCGGUGAAAUGCUUAGAUAUGACAUAGAACACCGAUUGCGAAGGCAGCUGACUACAGGAACAUUGACACUGAGGCACGAAAGCGUGGGGAUCAAACAGGAUUAGAUACCCUGGUAGUCCACGCCCUAAACUAUGGAUACUCGACAUUUGUGAUACACAAUAAGUGUCUGAGCGAAAGCAUUAAGUAUCCCACCGUGGGAAGUACGACCGCAAGGUUG